GAUGAUGGAGUGAGAUGUGGAAGUGUAAGCCAAAUGAACCCUUUCCUCCUCAAGUUGCUUUUUGGUCACAGUGUUUCGUCGCAGCAAUAGAAGCCCUAAGACAAACUGGUACCACCAGCAUCAUGUGGGUAUUGCUGUGACAGACCUGACCAUGUUUUGGGGAGGAUUGUGGAAGGACUUUGGAACUUUGGGCUAGAAAAGACGUUCUAUCAGGGAGACAGCUUCAUCCGGACACAGUAGGAGUGGUGCACAUAUGAACCCAGAGACUGUGACAGCACACAGGAGACCCGCAUAGGUUCAAGCCGCUCAAAAGCCCAGGACUGAGGAGGGAACUUCAGCUGAACCUAGAACUUUUUCACACCUGGAUUAGAAAGAAAACAAAACAAAACGAAAACCCAGAAAAAAAAAACUGUCACCUGUUAACUCGUCGUACUAUGAAGGGGUAGCUGGGAAGGGGACCCACUGUGGAGAUUCAAGGUCUUGAAUCAUAUUUCCACCUAAUAUGCUCAUAUGGGAAAGCAUAUCUGCAAUGAAGAUGUGCAUACAAAUGAGGUCAAGAACCCACAAAGACAAACAUGUAGGUGUUUAACAAUCUCCUGGAUAGCCCAGAGCAAGGCUGAGGAACCACUCAACAGAGAUCAUUCCUUCAUCAGGAACACGUCAGGGCUUCAGAGUUGUCUGCAGAGAUGAAGCCCCAAGUUCUUCAUUGAGAUCAGCUUCAGGAGCCAGAUGCCCCCCCCAUUCUCCUAGACACACAGAGAAACACCCUCAAAUUCCCAUCAAAACAAACUGCUACCUUUUUUUUUUCUUCAUGAAACAUCCAAGUCUAGUCACCUGUUGAGCAGUUAUGCUCUGCUUCAGACACUGCACUGUGCAUUUCAGAUGUGGCGGUGAAGAAUUUAACAGUGCUAGGCAUGCUGAUAUGUCUUUUGUCUUUUGUACUCCCUACACAGAGUCUCCCUAUGAUACAGCCAGGGCUGGCUUUGAACAUGUUAUCCUUUGGGUCUACCUCUGCAGUCGUGGGAUUAUAGGUGGAUGCUGCCAUGCCUUGGCUAGUAGGGUAGGUGUCAACUACAGACCCCAAAAAACAAGCCACAAAGUUAAAACCAAGCAGAGUUUAAGAAUUGUACUUUUUUUUAAAAAAAGGAUUUUUACAAGUAUAUAUCAUAUGUUGAGCACAGUCCCUCACAUUCUCUGCUUCCCUUUCCGCCGCCGCCUCCUGGAACUAGGGAGCUAGUCCUCUUGUUCCCUGAAUGGUUUUACUUUAAUUUCCAAGAUAUGCAUAUAUUCAUAUGAGAUUUUAUGUAUCUAUAUAUAAAUAAAUCUAGGAACCACAAAGGAGAGAAA